UCUUGAGCUGGAUACACAUGAACGGCUUACAAAAAUGUCAAAUCAUUUUCUCAGUGUGACAUAUGGAGAAACUAAGCGUGUAAAAUUUGACAGCAGCAGGUCUCUUUCAAAUACCACCUUGAUUCACCGUCAUACAGCAAAUUGUACUUCUAUCGCGUGAUCAGCAUAAUGAAACAUCACAAUCGCCCAGUCUAAAUUCAGGAAUUGUCUUAGAAUUUUGUGGUGAACUCUUCCACUCUCCAUUUUAAAAUUGUUUCUGAAGAUGCUAAAACUAAAAAAGAAUUGACGUGGUGAUAAUUGGAUGCCAAAGUGAUUAAAAUCAAAUUGGACCAGCCCUGGUGUUAUAGCUGUGACAAAAAGAUUACAAUGGAAACAAAGGGUGCAAGAUAAACUGCAACAGAUUAAACUAAACAGGAGAAGCUGUAAAAUGCCUCAUGAAACCACAAAGGAUCAGUAUGAUGAAGGACCUGAGUGGCUGCAACUCUAAUGGACAGCUGCCUUUUGUCAGCACAGGAUGAUACUACGUGAAAUGUCUGGAGCUGCAGUAACAGACUGCACCAGAGCUCAGCUUUGACUGAAUAAAGAGUCAAAGCUUUCAUCUUGCACUCAUCAGGACAUUUUGCAAUAAAUACAAAUUGAAGGGGAAACAAAUUGAAGGCGAGAAGCGUGCUGAUUGAUUCGUUAGCAGACUAUGAUUGGUAGAAACGUUGCCAUGGAGAAUGCACCCAUGAAUGCUGAUUGAUAGGCCUAUCGUCAUGAUGGGAGAAACGGAGUGACAUGGCCUCCAAGAUAACAGGAGAAUGUGGGUUGCCUGUGGAUACGAGAAAGGUGAAGAGUCUGAGGCUCAAGUGAAUGGAGGAAGAAGGCCACAAAGUAGUUUAACAAGACUCAAUAACUGAAACAAACCUCUAAUGUCUUGGCCUUUGUGGCUGCAUUUUGGAGAUAAAUGAGUUUCCUGCUUUAAAGCUGAAGAUUUGACAGUCAACAAGAAUCUCUGAUCUCUACAGUACAUUUGCCUCUGAUUUGCUAGAGAUCAAGGCUCAACAGGAGCCACUGCCCAGUAUCAAUGUACAAUAUGAAUGAGCACAAAUGAUGGACAUGCACUGAAGGAAAGUACUGAGUAAUAAGACUGAAUCUAAGUAAGACUAAACAAAGUAAGUUGCACAUAUUACACAUGUUCAUUUUAAAAACAGCAUUGUUAACCUCAAUAGAAAGUUGCAGGUAACAAAGAUUGAUCGUUGUAAUUUAUUAGAACCAAGAAAAAUCAAAUGAACUCAAGCAACAAUUCAAAUUUCUGUUGCCAAAGUCCUUCAAAUUCUUUUCCACCAAGAUAAAGGCAUAUACAAGAAUUAGCAGUCAAAGCUACUCAAUACUUAUUGCUGUUUAUUCAUUGUGAAUUGUACUUGGCCUUGCAAAGGAAGUCAACCUCCAAUAAAACAGGCAGUAGCCUACAGCGAAGAAAAUCAUGUCAAUAAAGUCUGGUGACACACAUUGCAAUGAAGAAAGGAGUUAUGACAUUAUAGAUUUUUGUAAAAGGCUAAUCUGACUUUAACUGGAGACAAGAAGUUUAAAAAAAAGGCUGCUACAAGUCACUUGACUAUACAGCUGCUGCCUCUAAAUGCAUUACAGACAGAUGUACCCAGAUAUGUAAAGAGUCUUAAAAUACCAGAAGUUUCCAACAGACAAUAAAGGUGUGUGAAUUCGAGCUUUAAAGAUAACGGCAUACAAGAUGUGGAGGCGCUGGUAUUGGACUCGGGUGGAUACAGUCAGAAAUCACAUAACACCAGGUUAUAGUCCAACAGGUUUAUUUGAAAACACAAGCUUUCGAAGUCUCAUUCCUUCUUCAGGUGUUAGUGAGAGAGCUGGUAUCAAACACAGAAUUUAUAAGUUAAAGAUCAAAGGAUAACUUAUAACUGAUGAGGAUGUAUUAAACAAACCUAAGAUGCUAUUAAAUAUUUAAUCAGUUAGAAGGUUUUAAUUGAUUAAUAUGUAUAUAAUAUACAAGAGGAAGAAUUUCAAAGGAACUCAUAAAUGACUUCUUUGCUUUGUGGAACACGUGAUUCCUUGGAAUUAACAUAUCACUACUUUGAACUUUGAACCAUAUUAAAAAAUCUGGCGAAGAACAGCCAAAUGUGCAGAACACCAAGAAGGAAGCAUUGAGAACACCCCUCAGCGGGAGUUUUCAUGAAGGGAGAACAUAGUGAAAAGUAAAACAAAUAUCUUUCUGCUGAAAGAAAGUCAGGCAGUGUGAAAAUAUCAAAACCACAUAACUACUAAAUAACAAGGAUCCUUCUCUGUGUCCUAAAAUCCACUGCCCCACAGAGCUUACCUGUUCAGGAAAACGCUACCUAUUCAACUACAGAAGCCAUUGCAGCUACAGAAUCAUACCUCAAGUGUUAAGUUUUUGCUUCAGUAACAAGGAACUCAAGCAAUGGGAUUCAAUGGUACACCAGAAAGAGAUUUUGGGGCUUGCUACACUUAGGUAUCCUUUCAUCUUACCAAUAUUUGUUCUAAUCUUCAUGUUUGUAAUUUUUCAUUGAAAAUAUCUUCUCUCUGUUUAGAGGGAAAACUCGGUAAUGGGUUGUAAUAAACCACCCUUUAACCUGUUUAAACAAGAAGUUUGACUGUUGUCUACUUAACUUGAAUUGUUCAAAUUAACAGGGGACUAAGCAACCAAUAUUAGUUCAGAUCCCUAGCCACUUCGGAACACAUCGCGGCACACAUCAAAAAAUGUGUAGAAGAAAAGAUAUCCACAUUCCUGAACUGUUUUAUUUAUUAUUCAUCAUUUAUUCAUCAUGUCAAUGGAUGUGAAUUUUAGCUGGUUUAAAGCUGCCUGUGAUGCACAAUAAAAAAAUAGCAUGCCCAGUUAA